UAGGGAAUCUUCCGCAAUGGGCGAAAGCCUGACGGAGCAACGCCGCGUGAGUGAUGAAGGUCUUCGGAUCGUAAAACUCUGUUAUUAGGGAAGAACAAAUGUGUAAGUAACUAUGCACGUCUUGACGGUACCUAAUCAGAACGCCACGGCUAACUACGUGCCAGCAGCCGCGGUAAUACGUAGGUGGCAAGCGUUAUCCGGAAUUAUUGGGCGUAAAACGCGCGUAGGCGGUUUUUUAAGUCUGAUGUGAAAGCCCACGGCUCAACCGUGGAGGGUCAUUGGAAACUGGAAAACUUGAGUACAGAAGAAGAAAGUGGAAGUCCAUGUGUAGCGGUGAAAUGCGGAGAGAUAUGGAGGAGCACCAGUGGCGAAGGCGACUUUCUGGUCUGUAACUGACGCUGAUGUGCGAAAGCGGGGGGAUCAAACAGG
rnacentral:rRNA from 1 species